rnacentral:snRNA from 1 species
GGGAUGUCGGUCAGCACAUAUACUAAAAUUGGAAAGAUACAGAGAAGAUUAGAGUGGCCCCUGCACAAGGGUGGCAUGCAAAACAUAUGACUGGAUAGAGAAAAUG